rnacentral:rRNA from 1 species
ACGCUCGACACCUACGGGAGCAGCAGUGGGGAAUAUUGCACAAUGGGGGAAACCCUGAUGCAGCGACGCCGCGUGAGUGAAGAAGUAUUUCGGUAUGUAAAGCUCUAUCAGCAGGGAAGAAGAUGACGGUACCUGAGUAAGAAGCCCCGGCUAACUACGUGCCNGCAGCCGCGGUAAUCUGAGCGGGCUGGCAAGGC